GGGGCCCGGCACAAGCGGUGGAGCAUGUGGUUUAAUUCGACGCAACGCGAAGAACUUACCAGGGCUUGACAUCCCCUGACCGCGUAUGAAAGUACGUUUUCACCCUCGGGUGACAGGGAGACAGGUGGUGCAUGGUUGUCGUCAGCUCGUGUCGUGAGAUGUUGGGUUAAGUCCCGCAACGAGCGCAACCCCUACGUUUAGUUGCUAACGCGUGAAGGCGAGCACUCUAGACGAACUGCCGUUGACAAACGGAGGAAGUGGGGAUGACGUCAAAUCAUCAUGCCCCUUAUGUUCUGGGCUACACACGUGCUACAAUGGCCGGUACAGACGGACGCAAAGCCGCGAGGUGGAGCAAAUCCUAAAAGCCGGUCUCAGUUCGGAUUGCAGGCUGCAAUUCGCCUGCAUGAAGUCGGAAUCGCUAGUAAUCGCAGGUCAGCAUACUGCGGUGAAUACGUUCCCGGGCCUU
rnacentral:rRNA from 1 species